AGAAUUUGCAUGCUGCUUCCAGGGGAGGACAUUCCUGCAAGGUUUACAUAAAAGCUCAGCUCUAACCUGGCCUUGACUCACCAGGACUCCUCAGCUCAGCUUCUCAAGAUGAGGCUCCCUGCUCAGUUCCUGGGGCUGCUCCUGCUCUGGAUCCCUGGUCACACCACGGUCAUUUUGUGAAUUCUGUGGAACUUGACAAGUGGACAGUGACGUGUGUCCAACAGUGUGGCCUGGCACAGUGCAGAUCCUGCCCUCACACUCUCUGAGCUCCAGCUGCUCCUCACCCCCUUUCUCUGCUGCAGACCUUCAUGAUUUUCCAUUCUUUAAUUUCACCUGGGCUGAGUGACACCUGCCUGGCACUCACAGCCUGGCCUUUCACCCUGAGUGAUGUGCACACAAACCUACUCCAGGGGUUUCCAUGAUAUGAUAGGAUCCAGUGGGGAUGUUGUGCUGACACAGACUCCUCUCACUGUGCCCAUCACCCCUGGACAGCCUGCCUCCAUCUUCUGCAGAUCCAGUCAGAGCCUCCUAUACAGUGAUGGAAAAACCUAUUUGGAAUUGCAUCAGCAGAAGCCAGGC
rnacentral:lncRNA from 1 species